UACGGAGGGUGCAAGCGUUGUCCGGAAUCACUGGGCGUAAAGGGCGCGUAGGCGGCUCGGUAAGUAGGGGGUGAAAUCCUGCGGCUUAACCGCAGGGCUGCCUUCUAAACUGUCGAGCUUGAGCACGGUAGAGGCAGAUGGAAUUCCCGGUGUAGCGGUGAAAUGCGCAGAUAUCAGGAAGAACACCCGUGGCGAAGGCGGCUCUCUGGGACGGUACUGACGCUGAGGAGCGAAAGCGUGGGGAGCGAACAGG
rnacentral:rRNA from 1 species